GGGUCCAUAGCUCAAUUGGUAGAGCAGCUGACUUUUAAUCAGCGGGUCGCAGGUUCGAUUCCUGCUGGACUCA
rnacentral:tRNA from 1 species